rnacentral:misc_RNA from 1 species
GAUGAAGAACGUAGCGAAAUGCGAUAAGUAAUGUGAAUUGCAGAAUUCAGUGAAUCAUCGAAUCUUUGAACGCAUCUUGCGCUCCUUGGUAUUCUGAGGAGCAUGCCUGUUUGAGUGUCAUUAAAUUCUCAACUACACUGACUUUGAAUUGGUGUGGCUUGGAUUUGGGGGGAAAAUUGUUGUGGGCUUUUUGUAUAGUCUGCUCCCCUGAAAUUGAUUAGCGGUACCUUUGUGGAAUUGUCUACAGGUUUGAUAAUUAUCUACAUCUUAGACAUCUGCUGGAAUGCUGCUCUCUAAACCUUACUUGUAUUGACAAUCUUGACCUCAAAUCAGGUAGGACUACCCGCUGAACUUAAGCAUAUCAAUAAGCGGAGGA